GGGGAUGACAGGCUUCGACGGAGGAGGCUGAUCCCGGACUGCGAGUCGAGAGGUACCGACCUCGAAAAAUCAGUACAAAAAACAAGUGCCAAUCGCACAAACACUUUUGCUGCCAUGCCCCUCGCUGCAUAGCGAGUGCCUGGUGGUAAAAUGGUUCUUUCGAGAACCACGUCCAUCUACCCCGUUCCCUACCCGGUGGUAGCCUGGGCGCCAUAAAGUUAGGGUGCCGUAUUCUUUGCUGCGACGAAUACGAAAGAGGGCUUUAGGGUCCAAGCAGCUGGCUAAAAAUCAGUAUUGUUGAUUGUCUGGUUUUUCGGCGAAAUGAUCAAUCAACUACACUCGUAGAUGUGCGGCGAUCUAUUUUUUCGGACGCGGGUUCAAUUCCCGCCAUCUCCACAA
rnacentral:tmRNA from 1 species